GGCGAUAACCGGAGCUGAGAUCUGCUCCGACGCGCAUUUACGGAUCAGGUAGAAUCUCACAAGCUCUUCGUCCGUGGGAUGGAAUCGGAAUCCUGCUGGUAAGUUCAGCGCUGCUUUCAUUCUCCAAAAGUUUCGUUCUUUUUUUCUCUCGUUGCGAUCUUCGAGUAUCUGGGUUCGUAAUCGUCUGGUGAAGGUUGGAAUCGAGGAGAUGAGUGGGAGGCGACGAAGGUUUUAUAAGAGGACGAGAAUCGCCGAAAAUUUAAUUAAUUUUAAUUAAGAAAACAGAUGAUGGCAUGUGGAGGUUGUACGCACGUGCGGUAAACGAUACUGUUUUCUUUUCAACGCUAACCGUUGACGUACGUGGCCUAGUCUCAGUGGAUGGUUAACUUAAUGAAAGAAGUGAUGAUGUCAUUGCUUCCGUCACCUGUACCCUUUGUAGAUUGUUGACCGGCUUAAGUGUCGAACACCUUAAUCCUCUGCUAGUAUAUAGCUUAUCCAUUUUGUUCCUUUACUUACACC
rnacentral:lncRNA from 1 species